ACAUUCAGAUCAUGGCAGAACUGUCACAGAUGUUACUUUGUGAAGACACAAAGAACAAUGUGAUUGGAGAGAUCAGUCUUCAAUUAGCUAUAUUUUCUAGGAGCCUACCUUUACUUAGCCUCACAACAUGGGCCUUAGCUUUUAGCACUUAAUCUGCAUAAAUACCUGGCUUAAGUGUUAUGACUGACUGGCUAUUCAACCAAACCAUACAAAUGACCAAUUCGGUAAGAAAGCAUGAACUUCAGUGUUGAACCGAAUCAACCAACCUCCUCAAUCCAAAUGGCGAGGAUAACAAAGGAAGCUGAGGAAGUCUGUUCUGGAGGCACCAUGACAAAGCACCAGACAGAAGGCAGUCACGUGUGGGGAGAUGAGCAGAGACACCACUUCUCAAGCACCUGAUUAUUCUUUCUCAGUAUUUAGAAGCAAAAAUUAUCCUUAAGAUAAACAACUGCAAACGCAACACAGGCUACACAGAUGAGAAAAUGGGGCCUGCAGAGCUCAAACCAUUACACCAUUCAGAAGCUGGCUUUGGUAUUACUUCAAAUUAUUCAAAACAGUCACCACUUGCUGAACCUCUAAUGUCUCAUCUGUUGAAUGGGUACAUUUCCUUCCUGAUCCUUCCACCUCGAAACUUGUCUAUUUCCAAGGAUCUAUGGCAUCCAGGCAUAUGAUUUCAAGAGAGAAGGCUGAAAAGGAAGGUGACUGGAAUAUUAAGAACUGUGAGAUAUUCUGAGGAAAUUCUAAUUUGUAAAUUGGUAGAAAUGCCAGUAAUUUGUUGGGAAUUGAAGACCCUCUGUAUUCAAGAGCGAAGCUUGGCAGCUGUGCACUGUUGUUUUAUAAAUCAAUAUUACAUCUGAA